rnacentral:tRNA from 1 species
AUAUAGCGCAAUGGAUAGCGCGUUGGUCUUCUAAUCUAAAGGUCGUGGGCUCGAAUCCCACAUGAAAUA